AUUGAACGCUGGCGGCAGGCCUAACACAUGAAAGUCGGGCGAGGGGCGGACGGGUGAGUAAUGUAUGGGGAUCUGCAUGAUGGAGGGGGAAAACUAAUGGAAACGGUAGCUAAUAACGCAUAGCAUCAGAUGAACCAAGAUGUGAUUAGCUUGGAGGUAAGGUAACGGCUGACCAAGGAGACGAUCCCUAGCGGGUCUGAGAGGAGGAUCGGCAACACUGGGACGGAGACACGGCCCAGACUCCUACGUGAGGCAGAAGUGGGGAAUAUUGCGCAAUGGGCGCAACCCUGAUGCAGGAAGGCCGCGUGUAUGAAGAAGGCCUUCGGGUUUUAAAGUACUUUCAGUCGGGAGGCGUUACCGACAGAAGAAGCACCGGCUAACUCCGUGCCAGCAGCCGCGGUAAUAC
rnacentral:rRNA from 1 species